AGGAACCGUAGCGAAAAUACACGAACAAAAACACCUCAAAUAUCUUCAGCAGAACAAGUAGUGAUCAACAAAAUGCACUCCAAUGAAAUUGGCUUACUGUUUAUUGUAUUACAAUGAAGUGAUUUUAUCUUAUAACAUUGGAUAUCGGAUACCACCAAAUUGGAUGGUACAAAUGUAAAUUUUAUCUUAAAGAUGUCUUGUACAAGGUAUCGAAACAUGAUCAAGAAACACUCCAGGAAAUCAUUAUUUGCACGUAAUGAUUGACAUUUAUUGGAGUUGAUCACACACGCAUAAUGGAAAUCACUUGAAAUCUAAACUAACAGAGAGCCUUCCAUCACAGUAAUAGCUUUUCCUCGCAGCUGCACUCUCUGAUUCUGCUUGUCUACAUGAAUGUUCAAGAUCCCACUUCUUGGUGAUGCCUGAGUCAGGUAAAAUGUAAUCAACAUAUAACAAUUAGAAGGAAUAUGAAUAGACAUAAAUUAGAGAGAAAUGGAUGCAAAGAGAGUACCGCAUAAGCCACAAAAUCACACUUUCCAAGCUUUUGACUCCAAUAGGUUGCCAAAGCACAAUGUGCACUCCCACAAACGGGAUCCUGAUAUAAACAAGUCAUGUACAUAUAAGACUGUUAUUAGAACUGUUUCAAUAUUGACAGAGUUUUUGAAAAUUAUUUCCAUCUUACUUAUUGGAUCCUAAACUACAGUACCACACAUAAAAGACAGUUCUUUGUUCUCUUACAUAGACACAUUACUUCAAAUGCCAAAAAUCCUUCUUGAAAUCAAAACCGAGCAAUCUACACUAGACUUUAGAGGCACUAUAUGUUUCGAAGUUAGCAAAUGGGUGAAAAGCUAGUAGGAAAUGAGCAAUAAUUUUGUUCACUUUCAGCUGUUACAUUUCACUCAAUUUGCAGGCCUUAUUACUCAUCAGAUUUUCUAAAACAGAAAUGAUAUUCAAUGCACAUCUUCAUGUAGCAUGAGUUAUGACAAAUGUACAUGCUCAUAAUACAGUAGUAUAUAAACUCAUUCAUUAAAACCAACGAGUUAUUACCUCAUUGAUGCCAAAUUUAGGGCAAAAGAAUCGGCUAUAAAAAUCAAAUCCAGACUCUGGAGGAGCAAGCCCUGAAACAAUUAUGCCUCUUCCAGGACAUUUUCGUAUUUGAUCAAACUGUGGCUCCACGUCUGUAACAAAUUUCGCCGAUGGGAGCACGACCUGCAUAUCGUAGCCAACUUCAUUCAGAACAACUACUAACACUAUAUCCAAAUGAGUAAAGGGUUAAAAGAAAUUACAAAGAUGUCUUCUGAGGUAGUUGUUAUCUUCAUAUCCAUGACUGAAGAAACACUCAAAGCCUUAUGAAUUAAUGAAACCUCAGAAAAAUUGAAAUCAGUAGUUGGAACUGUAGGAAAAUCCAAUUCAAUAAAAUAGCACUCUUGUGCUUCGCCAUUCUGUGAAUUAGAGUCAUUCAUCGCCUUAACAUCUGGAUCUUUUUUGGCUGUUAGAAUUCCAGACAGUGUGGCAAAUUCAAUUAUGUUGGAGUUUACCAAACCUCUCGAAAAGAGAGUGUGUGCAGCUGCUAAUGUUGCAUGACCACAAAGUUCAACCUGCAAAAAACUUAUCCUGAAAUUAAAAUACACUCUCCUUUGCGUUGGAGUCAGUGUCAUAUAUAUAAAAAACUAUAACAUGAACACAUGCAAAUCUAUGAAGCCUAAUGAUCAGAAAUAAUAUCAUUCAAGAUAAAAAUUUAGCUAUAAUCUUCCUUCAGAACUAAAAGAAGCAUAGCACAUAAAUAAGAGUAAACAUUCCACAAUGAUGGAAUGAUGAAAAAACUAAAACCCCAUGAAAUAAGAUAAAUCAUCAAGCUCCAGAACUGAGCCAAAUAGCUUCAUCCACAACUUAUAAUUAUAAAAACUGAAACUGACCUCAGCAACAGGAGUGAACCAUCUAAGACGGAACCUCGGAUUAGGAGAUUCAGCAGCAGUAAGGCGAGUCAAGUAACCGGUCUGAGAGGUAUUGAACUCAGAAGCCACAGCUUGUAGCCAUUCUUCAUCUCUAUCUUCCUCUAACAAACAAACCGCUGCUGGGUUCCCCUUGAAAGCUGAGUCGGUAAAAGCAUCCACCUGUCAAAGCAACAAAAAGAACCCAGUCCCAUUCAACCACAACGGAACAUCAAUCUAUAAAUACAAAAGAGGAGAUUACUAUUAGUUACCACAGAAUAUUGUACGAGCUUCUUGGCCAUGUUGCAGAAUAAAGAAUGAAGUUUAGAGUUUGACACGUGAAACUUGGAGUUGCAAAAGGUGAAGAGCUGAAACCCGAAACUGAGAUGAAAGAAAUGGUCAACACCUAACAGCCGCCAACCUACUGUCUUUUUCUUUAUAUUUUUUUUCCUUUUUUUCCACGGUUCUUCCCCUCUCGGACGCUUGCCACAUUCGAUUGGACUGUGCAUGAUACAAUAAGAUUUGUUUUUCUUAUAAUUAUCUUGUAUUCUGCCUACUACAACCAACUGAUUAACUUAAUUUAUAAGAAAAGAAAUUUCUUAAAUUACAUUUAUUGUAAAGAGCAGAAUCAAGUGAGGCAACGGAUAAAUUUUAUUUGACAGUGAAUUAUAUUAAAUAUAAUUUAGAGAGAUUCAUAAGAAAAUGAGCCCCAAUAUGAUUAACGAACUUGCACAAAUUAUAUGGAUUCUUUUCUCUGAAAAAUGUCUUUGUUCUGAAAAACAUCAGAUCAAAAGAAACCAUAGCGAAAAUACACGAACAAAAACACCUCAAAUAUCUUCAGCAGAACAAGUAGUGAUCAACAAAAUACAGUCCAAUGAAAUUGGCUUACUGUUUAUUGUAUUACAAUGAAGUGAUUUUAUCAUAUAACAUUGGAUAUCAGAUACCACCAAAUUGGAUGGUACAAAUGUAAAUUUUAUCUUAAAGAUGUCUUGUACAAGGUAUCGAAACAUGAUCAAGAAACACUCCAGGGAAUCAUUAUUUGCACGUAAUGAUUGACAUUUAUUGGAGUUGAUCACACACGCAUAAUGGAAAUCACUUGAAAUCUAAACUAACAGAGAGCCUUCCAUCACAGUAAUAGCUUUUCCUCGCAGCUGCACUCUCUGAUUCUGCUUGUCUACAUGAAUGUUCAAGAUCCCACUUCUUGGUGAUGCCUGAGUCAGGUAAAAUGUAAUCAACAUAUAACAAUUAGAAGGAAUAUGAAUAGACAUAAAUUAGAGAGAAAUGGGUGCAAAGAGAGUACCGCAUAAGCCACAAAAUCACACUUUCCAAGCUUUUGACUCCAAUAGGUUGCCAAAGCACAAUGUGCACUCCCACAAACGGGAUCCUGAUAUAAACAAGUCAUGUACAUAUAAGACUGUUAUUAGAACUGUUUCAAUAUUGACAGAGUUUUUGAAAAUUAUUUCCAUCUUACUUAUUGGAUCCUAAACUACAGUACCAUACAUUAAAGAAAGUUCUUUGUUCUCUUACAUAGACACAUUACUUCAAAUGCCAAAAAUCCUUCUUGAAAUCAAAACAGAGCAAUCUACACUAGACUUUAGAGGCAAUAUAUGUUUCGAAGUUAGCAAAUGGGUGAAAAGCUAGUAGGAAAGGAGCAAUAAUUUUGUUCACUUUCAGCUGUAACAUUUCACUCAAUUUGCAGGCCUUAUUACUCAUCAGAUUUUCUAAAACAGAAACGAUAUUCAAUGCACAUCUCCAUGUAGCAUGAGUUAUGACAAAUGUACAUGCUCAUAAUACAGUAGUAUAUAAACUCAUUCAUUAAAACCAACGAGUUAUUACCUCAUUGAUGCCAAAUUUAGGGCAGAAGAAUCGGCUAUAAAAAUCAAAUCCAGACUCUGGAGGAGCAAGCCCUGAAACAAUUAUGCCGCUUCCAGGACAUUUUCGUAUUUGAUCAAACUGUGGCUCCACGUCUGUAACAGAUUUCGCCGAUGGGAGCACGACCUGCAUAUUGUAGCCAACUUCAUUCAGAACAACUACUAACACUAUAUCCAAAUGAGUAAAGGGUUAAAAGAAAUUACAAAGAUAUCUUCUGAGGUAGUUGUUAUCUUCAUAUCCAUGACUGAAGAAACACUCAAAGCCUUAUGAAUUAAUGAAACCUCAGAAAAAUUGAAAUCAGUAGUUGGAACUGUAGGAAAAUCCAAUUCAAUAAAAUAGCACUCUCGUGCUUCGCCUUUCUGUGAAUUAGAGUCAUUCAUCGCCUUAACAUCUGGAACUUUUUUGGCUGUUAGAAUUCCAGACAGUGUGGCAAAUUCAAUUAUGUUGGAGUUUACCAAACCUCUCGAAAAAAGAGUGUGUGCAGCUGCUAAUGUUGCAUGACCACAAAGUUCAACCUGCAAAAAACUUAUCCUGAAAUUAAAAUACACUCUCCUUUGUGUUGGAGUAAGUGUCAUAUACAUAAAAAACUAUAACAUGAACACAUGAAAAUCUAUGAAGCUUAAUGAUCAGAAAUAAUAUCAUUCAAGAUAAAAAUUUAGCUAUAAUCUUCCUUCAGAACUAAAAGAAGCAUAGCACAUAAAUAAGAGUAAACAUUCCACAAUGAUGGAAUGAUGAAAAAACUAAAACCCCAUGAAAUAAGAUAAAUCAUCAAGCUCCAGAACUGAGCCAAAUAGCUUCAUCCACAACUUAUAAUUAUAAAAACUGAAACUGACCUCAGCAACAGGAGUGAACCAUCUAAGACGGAACCUCGGAUUAGGAGAUUCAGCAUCAGUAAGGCGAGUCAAGUAACAGGUCUCGGAGAUAUUGAACUCAGAAGCCACAGCUUGUAGCCAUUCUUCAUCUCUAUCUUCCUCUAACAAACAAACCGCUGCUGGGUUCCCCUUGAAAGCUGAGUCGGUAAAAGCAUCCACCUGUCAAAGCAACAAAAAGAACCCAGUCCCAUUCAACCACAACGGAACAUCAAUCUAUAAAUACAAAAGAGGAGAUUACUAUUAGUUACCACAGAAUAUUGUACGAGCUUCUUGGCCAUGUUGCAGAAUAAAGAAUGAAGUUUAGAGUUUGACACGUGAAACUUGGAGUUGCAAAAGGUGAAGAGCUGAAACCCGAAACUGAGAUGAAAGAAAUGGUCAACACCUAACAGCCGCCAACCUACUGUCUUUUUCUUUAUAUUUUUUUUCCUUUUUUUCCACGGUUCUUCCCCUCUCGGACGCUUGCCACAUUCGAUUGGACUGUGCAUGAUACAAUAAGAUUUGUUUUUCUUAUAAUUAUCUUGUAUUCUGCCUACUACAACCAACUGAUUAACUUAAUUUAUAAGAAAAGAAAUUUCUUAAAUUACAUUUAUUGUAAAGAGCAGAAUCAAGUGAGGCAACGGAUAAAUUUUAUUUGACAGUGAAUUAUAUUAAAUAUAAUUUAGAGAGAUUCAUAAGAAAAUGAGCCCCAAUAUGAUUAACGAACUUGCACAAAUUAUAUGGAUUCUUUUCUCUGAAAAAUGUCUUUGUUCUGAAAAACAUCAGAUCAAAAGAAACCAUAGCGAAAAUACACGAACAAAAACACCUCAAAUAUCUUCAGCAGAACAAGUAGUGAUCAACAAAAUACAGUCCAAUGAAAUUGGCUUACUGUUUAUUGUAUUACAAUGAAGUGAUUUUAUCAUAUAACAUUGGAUAUCAGAUACCACCAAAUUGGAUGGUACAAAUGUAAAUUUUAUCUUAAAGAUGUCUUGUACAAGGUAUCGAAACAUGAUCAAGAAACACUCCAGGGAAUCAUUAUUUGCACGUAAUGAUUGACAUUUAUUGGAGUUGAUCACACACGCAUAAUGGAAAUCACUUGAAAUCUAAACUAACAGAGAGCCUUCCAUCACAGUAAUAGCUUUUCC
rnacentral:lncRNA from 1 species